rnacentral:rRNA from 1 species
ACCGGAGCUUGCUCCACCGGAAAAGAAGAGUGGCGAACGGGUGAGUAACACGUGGGUAACCUGCCCAUCAGAAGGGGAUAACACUUGGAAACAGGUGCUAAUACCGUAUAACAAUCAAAACCGCAUGGUUUUGAUUUGAAAGGCGCUUUCGGGUGUCGCUGAUGGAUGGACCCGCGGUGCAUUAGCUAGUUGGUGAGGUAACGGCUCACCAAGGCCACGAUGCAUAGCCGACCUGAGAGGGUGAUCGGCCACAUUGGGACUGAGACACGGCCCAAACUCC